UACGGGGGAGCAAGCGUUGUUCGGAUUUACUGGGCGUAAAGGGCGCGUAGGCGGUCGUGACAAGUCACUUGUGAAAUCUCCGGGCUUAACUCGGAACGGUCAAGUGAUACUGUCGGACUAGAGUACAGAAGGGGCAACUGGAAUUCUCGGUGUAGCGGUGAAAUGCGUAGAUAUCGAGAGGAACACCUGCGGCGAAGGCGGGUUGCUGGGCUGAUACUGACGCUGAGGCGCGAAAGCUAGGGGAGCGAACGGG
rnacentral:rRNA from 1 species